rnacentral:lncRNA from 1 species
ACUAAUUGGCUAUCAUAAAAUUGUUAUAUUUUUAUGAUGAUUACAUCGUUCGCCUGAAUGAUUGUGACGAACAAAAUUCGCGUUCCGCUGUCUGAAAACACAGACAAUGGUAGUAAUAAUCAUUAUAGUGACUCUUUGUAAUCCUUUUGUUUUGGUUAACAGGUCGUGUAGAACACUUGAAAUACAAGAAAGAAAUUUAAUGAUUAGAUGACUGAGUUUUUGGAUGGACUGUUUAAAGAUUGAAAUAUCCUAGAAAAAUUAUGUGCAAGAAUAUCUGCGCAACUUUAAUAAUACAAAAUACUAAGAAAACAGAAAAAUCGUCACAGUCAUCCAAAGGAUACCCAUUGCUGAACACAGAACUCUCACCAAGAUUUCCUUUCCAAACUGUUGAAGAUGACCUGCUUCUGACACCUAAUAAUAUCAUCAAUUGCAUUGGAAGUCAUUAGAAAGAGAAAUUUAUAAUGUACAUAGAGUGCACUAAGAAACAAGAAUGGAAUCUUUAUGCAUUGGCCAAAAAAGCUGAUGAAAAUAAAACCCUGGUCUACCUUACUGAGUUAGUAAAGCACCUUAACUAACAUACUGAAGAUGCUCCAAUGCUCCGAGACAGCCUAAAUUCAAAAUAAAGCUUGCUAUGCUCACAAAGCAUUGAGUAUUGUAACAUCUUUACAAAUUAUCCAAAUGGUACCAUAUUACCUUGAGAAAGGAAAUAAAAGAUAUGAAGUGUCAUAUUUCCCAUCAUAUGUAUUAGUGCAGAAUGGGAAACAAGACUGCUACAUAGAAAAACAAGACAUGGCGAUAACUGAAUGCGAAGGAAAACUCAAACUCCGAUCAAUUAUGAAUGUUACUUUAUAGUCAUUAAAAUUGUUCCCCCCCCCCCCCCCCUGCCAGUAAAUGGGGAUAUCACGGUGCAUCUGGACACAGCAAUUGCAAAUAAAAAGGGACAGUGAUAGCUGCUAAACUCUAGUUUAGCUCAAUGGGAUACUCAAACUAGAAACCGAUGACCACUUCAUGUACCUGGGUUCUGGCAUUACCAACAACGGAUCUAGCAAAGCUAAUGUGGACACUAAAAGCUAGAGACCGCCAUCGCGUAGAUGCCUUUGAAAUGUGAUGCUGCAGGAAUGCACCAAAUUCUAUGGAGGGCAUUUAGGACCAACCUCUAUCCUCGAAAAGCUAAAGCUUGACAAAAAACCGACGCUCUCCAAAAUUUGUCUGAGGAAAAUCCUUGAGUUUCUUAACCAUAUCGCCCGCAAACCAGGUCAUGACCUCCAGAAAUUGAUAAUGACCAGACGAAUUGAGGGCAAGAGAUCGAGAGGCAGAAUUCCAAUGCGCGGAAUCUGAUCCGCACCAUAUUCAACAUUAAUUUAGCUGAAGCUGUUCAAGUCGCAGAUGGCACAUCUUGCGCGAAGAAUUGUUUCCCUAAUGACCCACUACCUUGUGCUUUGGGGAAUCGCUGCAAGGAAAGUGGUACUCAGUUCAUACUUUACACAUCAGAAAGAUGAAAGCUCCUGACAUGACUGCGCUUUGCGGCAAAUGUUCCUGUUACUACAGCCGUUGUUUGAAUAGGCGUUUUUAAAAAUUAAGUUUUUUGUUAUAAUAUAUUGUUUAUCUAUAAUAAUAGAUAUUUAAAAAUAGACUAUAGUAUUAUUUAUAUUAGCAAUAUUAUCAAAUAGGUAUUGGCUUCGAUACUUCAAAAUAUGCAUUCAAUAGUAUUGAUAGGUUUUGGUUAAAACCAAUAGUUUUCACAAUAUUAGGUAUCUCAUUGUUCUGAGAAUAUUCAUACUAUUGAAUGCAUUACUAUUACAAUAGUAUCAACAGUAUUGGCAUGUGAAUAAUAUCGAUGGACCAUUGCUCUCACCUUCACUAUCGAUAGAUAAUCGAUAAUCUAUCAAUAGCUGAUUAUUGAUAUGCAACAAUACACUAAACUACUUGUUUAUUCCAAAA